ACGAACGCUGGCGGCGUGCCUAACACAUGCAAGUCGAGCGGAGACAGUGAGUAGCUUGCUAUGAACUGUUUUAGCGGCGGACGGGUGAGUAACGCGUGAGCAACCUUUCCCAGACAGGGGAAUAACACACCGAAAGGUGUACUAAUACCGCAUAAGACCACGGGAUCACAUGGUUCUGGGGUAAAAGAUUUAUCGGUUUGGGGUGGGCUCGCGUCCGAUUAGGUAGUUGGUGAGGUAACGGCCCACCAAGCCGACGAUCGGUAGCCGACCUGAGAGGGUGAUCGGCCACAUUGGGACUGAGACACGGCCCAAACUCCUACGGGAGGCAGCAGUGGGGAAUAUUGGGCAAUGGGGGGAACCCUGACCCAGCAACGCCGCGUGGAGGAAGAAGGUUUUCGGAUCGUAAACUCCUGUCCUUGGAGACGAGUAGAAGACGGUAUCCAAGGAGGAAGCCCCGGCUAACUACGUGCCAGCAGCCGCGGUAAUACGUAGGGGGCAAGCGUUGUCCGGAAUAAUUGGGCGUAAAGGGCGCGUAGGCGGCUCGGUAAGUCUGGAGUGAAAGUCCUGCUUUUAAGGUGGGAAUUGCUUUGGAUACUGUCGAGCUUGAGUGCAGGAGAGGUUAGUGGAAUUCCCAGUGUAGCGGUGAAAUGCGUAGAGAUUGGGAGGAACACCAGUGGCGAAGGCGACUAACUGGACUGUAACUGACGCUGAGGCGCGAAAGUGUGGGGAGCAAACAGGAUUAGAUACCCUGGUAGUCCACGCUGUAAACGAUGAUUACUAGGUGUGGGGGGUCUGACCCCUUCCGUGCCGGAGUUAACACAAUAAGUAAUCCACCUGGGGAGUACGGCCGCAAGGUUGAAACUCAAAGGAAUUGACGGGGGCCCGCACAAGCAGUGGAGUAUGUGGUUUAAUUCGACGCAACGCGAAGAACCUUACCAGGUCUUGACAUCCAACUAACGAAGCAGAGAUGCAUUAGGUGCCCUUCGGGGAAAGUUGAGACAGGUGGUGCAUGGUUGUCGUCAGCUCGUGUCGUGAGAUGUUGGGUUAAGUCCCGCAACGAGCGCAACCCUUAUCUUUAGUAGCCAGCGGUUCGGCCGGGCACUCUAGAGAGACUGCCAGGGAUAACCUGGAGGAAGGCGGGGAUGACGUCAAAUCAUCAUGCCCCUUAUGACUUGGGCUACACACGUGCUACAAUGGCCACGACAGAGAGAAGCGAAAUCGCAAGGUAGAGCGGAACUCAAAAAAGUGGUCCCAGUUCGGAUUGUGGGCUGCAACCCGCCCACAUGAAGUCGGAGUUGCUAGUAAUCGCGGAUCAGCAUGCCGCGGUGAAUACGUUCCCGGGCCUUGUACACACCGCCCGUCACACCAUGGGAGUUGGGAGUGCCCAAAGCCGGUGAGGCAACCGCAAGGAGCCAGCCGUCUAAGGCAAGACCAAUGACUGGGGUG
rnacentral:rRNA from 1 species